rnacentral:lncRNA from 1 species
CAAGCAUUAGAUUCGAAUUUGACAGUAUAUCCUUUAUCACAUAAUUGACUAAUACUCAAGAGGUUAUGUUUUAAACCAUCAACUAACAGAACAUCUUCAAUAAAGAGGUUGGAUUUGUUACCUAUGGUUCCUUUGCCAAUGAUUUUACCCUUGUUGUUGUCUCCGAAGGUGACAUAGCCUUCGUCUAUGCUAGUGAGCUUAGAGAAUUGAGAUGGAUCUCCGGUCAUAUGCCUUGAGCAUCCACUAUCAAGGUACCAUCUCUUGCUCCUAGCUUGCGAUGGUUUAGUUUUCUACAAGAAAGGAUGAUGUUUAGGUACCCAUUUGCUUUUGGGUGCCUCAUAAAUAGAUCUACAUUUCUUAUCAUGUUGCAUAGAAUUUUUCAUGGUUCCUUUAGGAACCCAAAUCAAUUUGUUUGGACUUAUUUUCUUGAAUGGACAACAAUGUGUCUUGUGUCCAA